rnacentral:tRNA from 1 species
GCGGUCGUGGCGGAAUGGCAGACGCGCUAUCUUGAGGGGGUAGUGACCAAAAGUCGUAUGGGUUCAAGUCCCAUCGACCGCACCA